AUUAAGGUGGCAGAGCCCAGAUAUGCAAGAGGCCUAAAAUCUCUACUACGGAAGUUCAAAUCUUCCCCCUAAUA
rnacentral:tRNA from 1 species